rnacentral:lncRNA from 1 species
CGGGAAGAGGCACGGAGGAACAAAACCAGUUCCGAGCCGUUCAGCCGAUCGUAUUCGGUCCACGCUGCCGCCACUUCGCGAUCUGCCUAUGCAGCCAUCCGCGCAUUCAGGCAGACGCACGGACGGAUUUUGCGGGUAGAGCUGCAAGCGCCCGUAGCGGCCAAAGCCUGCAAAGCUCCUCUGCGAAGCAGGCGUAGGAGAGAGGCUGCUUCCCGAAGAGCGGAGGAAGGCAGCCCUACGAAAGGCCAGGGGCCGGCUGCGGCUGGCGGCCCCGGCCCGGCCGCGGGGGAGCCCCCCGGGAGCCCCGAGCCCGGCGGGACCGCGGGGCAGGAGCGGGGCCGGGCUCGGCGGCGGGGUCCGCGCCGAGGGCAGCGCAGGGCUCAGCCGCCUCUCGGGCGUGUUCCGGCUCCUUGCGAUUCCACCGGGUCGGCUGGGACUUUGCCUCACUACACCGGGAGUUCCUUGACCGCUAAAGAAAGACGCUGGGGUAUUAACAUACAGUCUGAAUGGCUGCCUGAUCUGUUACAUUUAUCCGUGCCAUCUAAGAACACGAGGCUUGGCUGCGUUAUUUAUGAAGACUGCAGUUUACUGUCGAGAUGCCCUUUUCUGAGCAUCCACAACAUACUGGACUUGAAAAGUAGGAAUGGAUGAUGCAAGUGUGUGUUUGUGUCACAGAGCCUGGCGAAGCAGACUGGAAGGCUCUGUUUCUCUAAACAGUUUCUGAAGCAUCAUUGUGCUAAAUAGACUAAGGAUUUUUAGUGGGUGGAUGUUGCAGGGAUUUGGGGUUGUUUAUGAAAGACACCUAAAUACCAACGUUCUAGUUACAGAUCUGCAUGUUAUUUUAAUUUCAAUAGAUUACAUUGCCCGCAGGCUAAGAUCUCUAGCUACAAUAGGAUAAGGCAAAAAAAAAAUACACAGUGCAUUUUUUUAUAACAAGGUCUUGGAAAACUUCAACCUAUAGCCACAGAACCAUAUUGUCUGGUUGUUGUUGUUUGUUUUUAAUUGCGCACACAGCAUCAUCUGCUGGGUGUUUGAGCUCUUAAUACCAAAGGAACGUACAUUAUACAUGUAUGGUUUAUUAUUGUUCAAAAUACUUUCUAGGUUCAAGAAUACUGUUUGCUGACCAGGCUCAGAUUGUCAGUGAAUGAUUCCAGUAGACUGUAUGUGCUUGUGGUUAUCUUUUGAGUACACAUCCCUUUAUGUACAAAAUACAUACACACAUAUAUGUGUAUGUACAUACAAAUAAAAUGCAAGCUUUUAUAUAUGUAUAUUUGCA